UACGGAGGGUUCAAGCGUUAAUCGGAAUUACUGGGCGUAAAGCGCACGCAGGUGGCUGAGAAAGUCGAUUGUUAAAGCCCUGGGCUUAACCUGGGAAUUGCAGUCGAAACUACUCGGCUAGAGUAUGGGAGAGGGUAGUGGAAUUCCCGGUGUAGCGGUGAAAUGCGUAGAUAUCUGGAGGAAUACCGGAGGCGAAGGCGGCUCACUGGGUCUCUUCUGACGCUGAGGAACGAAAGCUAGGGGAGCAAACGGG
rnacentral:rRNA from 1 species